UACGUAGGGGGCGAGCGUUGUCCGGAAUCAUUGGGCGUAAAGCGCGUGUAGGCGGCCCGGUAAGUCCGCUGUGAAAGUCCAGGGCUCAACCCUGGGAUGCCGGUGGAUACUGUCGGGCUAGAAUCCGGAAGAGGCGAGUGGAAUUCCUGGUGUAGCGGUGGAAUGCGCAGAUAUCAGGAGGAACACCAAUAGCGAAGGCAGCUCGCUGGGACGGUAUUGACGCUAAGGCGCGAAAGCGUGGGGAGCAAACAGG
rnacentral:rRNA from 1 species